rnacentral:rRNA from 1 species
AAUCAACGCUGGCGGCGUGCCUAACACAUGCAAGUCGAACGAGAAAGCCCGUAGCAAUACGGGUGAGUACAGUGGCGCCCGGGUGAGUAACACGUGGAUAACCUGCCUUUGAGUGGGGAAUAACCCUGGGAAACCGGGGCUAAUACCGCAUAACACCAGGCGACUGCGGUCGCUGGGUUAAAACCUGGAAACGGGGCUUAAAGAGGGGUCCGCGCCCGAUUAGCUAGUUGGUGAGGUAACGGCUCACCAAGGCUGUGAUCGGUAGCCGGCCUGAGAGGGCGGUCGGCCACACUGGAACUGACAUACGGUCCAGACUCCUACGGGAGGCAGCAGUGGGGAAUUUUGCGCAAUGGGGGAAACCCUGACGCAGCAACGCCGCGUGGAUGAUGAAGCCCCUUGGGUGUAAAAUCCUUUCGGCAGGGACGAAAUUUUGACGGUACCUGAAGAAGAAGCCCCGGCUAACUCCGUGCCAGCCGCCGCAGUAAG